GAGCCUGCGGCCGAUUAGCUAGUUGGCAGGGUAAAAGCCUACCAAGGCGACGAUCGGUAGCUGGUCUGAGAGGAUGAUCAGCCACACUGGAACUGGAACACGGUCCAGACUCCUACGGGGGGCAGCAGUAAGGGAUAUUGCACAGUGGGGGAAACCCUGAUGCAGCGACGCCGCGUGAGCGAAGAAGGCCUUCGGGUUGUAAAGCUCUUUUCUGUGGGACGGGACGGUACCACAGGAACAAGCCUCGGCUAACUACGUGCAGCAGCCGCGGUAACACGUAGGAGACGAGCGUUAUCCGGAUUCACUGGGCGUAAAGGGCAAGUAGGCGGUUGCGAAAGUUGGGCGUGACAAUCUCUGGCUUAACUAGGGAAGGACGUUCAAAACUAGGCAACUAGAGGGCAGGAGAGGAAAGCGGAAUUCCUAGUGUAGCGGUGGAAUGCUCAGAU
rnacentral:rRNA from 1 species